rnacentral:rRNA from 1 species
GGGCUCGCGGCCGAUUAGCUAGUUGGUGUGGUAACGGCGCACCAAGGCGACGAUCGGUAGCUGGUCUGAGAGGAUGAUCAGCCACACUGGAACUGAGAGACGGUCCAGACUUCUACGGAAGGCAGCAGUAGGGAAUAUUGCACAAUGGGGGAAACCCAAAUGCGGCAACGCCGCGUGAGCGAAGAAGGCCUUCGGGUCGUAAAGCUCUUUUCCGGGGGAAGGGACGGUACCCCGGGAACAAGUCUCGGCUAACUACGUGCCAGCAGCCGCGGUAAGGCGUAGGAGGCGAGCGUUAUCCGGAUUUACUGGGCGUAAAGGGCAAGUAGGCGGUAGCCAAAGUUGGGCGUGACAGAUCUCGGCCUAACUGGGAAAGGUCGUCCAAAACUAGGCUACUAGAGGGCAGGAGAGGGAAGUGGAAUUCCUAGUGUAGCGGUGGGAUGCUCAGAU